ensembl:lncRNA
GUGAUAAUUAAAUAAAAAGACGGCAGCACUGAAAAGUCUUUAAGUUCAGUGGAGACAAGUGGGAUCUUCAGACCUUCCUGAAGAGUCAUUCCUCAUCGUUAGGUGGCUGAGCUGAAACUAGGAAGAAGACAACAGACAUAAAGAGUCAUGAUCCCGAAACCUCUCGAAAAAUUUUGUUAUUGACGAUGGCAAAGUCACCCUGAGCAAGGCUCUCUUUUCUUUGAGUUUGGGCAAUGGGUGCAGAGAAGCAGGGGGAUGCCCCUCCAGCAGCUGCAAUGAUCAAGGGAUCCGGUGCCUUUUGUGUCUCCUGGCACUGAGGAUUUCCCUCUCCGUGAGUAGCUGGAACUGACCAAGGCCCCUGCAACUGACCGGGAGAGAUGCCCCUUUUCGAUUCCAUCGGGAUGGACUUUGUGGAUCCUGCCUGGUGAGACAUGUCACAUGGAGCAAUCUCGCUGGAAUGGCCCCUUCGAGACUGGCUGGAUGGCUCACCUCCAUCCCUCCAUCCCUUCUGCUUAGGAGGUGGGGGAUGGUGACACCUCAGGUAGAGUUCCCAGCCACAUUUUCCUGAAACAGAACUGAGGUGCCUGCAAUCACCUUGUCAGGAACCGUAGUGCCUGGGGAUCCAUGAGCUGCUCCUUAAAGAGAGCUGGAGUGAGAACUAGGAAAUGUGGCCUUCAUGUCUACACUCGUCAUCAGGAAAUCCCUAGAUCAGUGAUUCUUGACUGGAGUGCUUCUGAUCCCCAAGGGCAUUUGGCCAUGUCUGGAGGUAUUUUAAGUCAUCACACCUCUGAUGUGUGUGAAGGUGCUGCUGCCAUCUAGUGGGUGGAGGCCUGGGAUGCAGCUGAGACCAACUCUGCAACUCCGUGGACUGUGGCCCUCCAGGCUCCUGUGUCCAUGGCAUUCUCCAGGCAAAAUACUGGAGUGGGGAACUGUUCCCUUCUCCAGGGGAUCUGCUCGGCCCAGGGAUCAAACCAGGGUCUCCUGCAUUGCAGGCUGACUCUUUACCGUCUGAGUCACCAGGGAAGCCCCUGCCCAUCUUUACUUAAUGGGAAAUGGCCCUUGGAGGGGAAGGUUCUGAGUAACCAUGGUUACCACCUUGAAUCCCCAAAUGAGAGGUAUCACCAAAGAAAAUGUCAUCUUUUUUUGCACAAAAGGAUGAUGUUUGCCACCCUAUUUUAGAUAAUGGCUUUAGACUCAGGCUAAAAUAACUCACAGGCUAGUUUAGCUCAUCUUGCUCAGUCUGUCUGCCUUCUAACUAGUCUGCCAAGAAUGACGGUGAGAAGACCUGAUCUGAAGGUCAGGAUGGGUAGGCUUCCAAGGGAAAAAGGCCCUUCACAUUCAAAGAGUUUUUUUUC